GACGAACGCUGGCGGCGUGCUUAACACAUGCAAGUCGAACGGAAAGGCCCUGCUUUUGUGGGGUGCUCGAGUGGCGAACGGGUGAGUAACACGUGAGUAACCUGCCCCUGACUUUGGGAUAACUUCAGGAAACUGGGGCUAAUAUCGGAUAGGAGCUCCUGCUGCAUGGUGGGGGUUGGAAAGUUUCGGCGGUUGGGGAUGGACUCGCGGCUUAUCAGCUUGUUGGUGGGGUAGUGGCUUACCAAGGCUUUGACGGGUAGCCGGCCUGAGAGGGUGACCGGCCACAUUGGGACUGAGGUAGGGCCCAGACUCCUACGGGAAGCAGCGGUGGGGAAUAUUGCACAAUGGGCGGAAGCCAGAUGCAGAAACGCCGCGUGCGGGAUGACGGCCUUCGGGUUGUGAACCGCUUUCGCCUGUGACGAAGCGUGAGUGACGGUAAUGGGUAAAGAAGCACCGGCUAACUACGUG
rnacentral:rRNA from 1 species